rnacentral:rRNA from 1 species
GACGAACGCUGGCGGCGUGCUUAACACAUGCAAGUCGAACGGAAAGGCCCUGCUUUUGUGGGGUGCUCGAGGGGCGAACGGGUGAGUAACACGUGAGUAACCUGCCCUUGACUUUGGGAUAACUUCAGGAAACGGGGGCUAAUACCGUAUAGGAGCUCCUGCUGCAUGGUGGGGGUUGGAAAUUUUCGGCGGUUGGGGAUGGACUCGCGGCUUAUCGGCUUGUUGGUGGGGUAGUGGCUUACCAAGGCUUUGAAGGGUAGCCGGCCUGAGAGGGUGACCGGCCACAUUGGGACUGCGAGACGCACCAGCGUCGUACGGGAGGCAGUGGUGGCAAACCUUGCCCAGUGGGCGGAAGUGUGAUGCAGCAACGCCGGGUGCGGGAUGCCGGCCUUCGGGUUGUAAAACGCUUUCGCCUGUGACGCAGCGUGAGUGACGGUAAUCAGUAAAGAAGCACCGGCUAACUACGUG